UUUAUAAUAUGUUUACUCAUCUUCUAUAUUGGUUUUUUGAAAGGCGAUUAUAGCAGCAGAUUCUACGAAAAACAUAUAAAUGCUGAUUUCCCUGAUCGUUCAAAUUUGCUGUAAAAAUGUUACGGUAACUUAUUUUCACCAUGUUGCUGUGUUCUGCACGUGUGCAGAUGUGAGACUCGAGUCUAAGGCACGAUUCUAACGUAGUUUGUUUCUAAAAACUAUUAAAGCUCGUUAAUAUAUUACAUUUAGUAUGUUGCUAAGAAACUUUGUGUUCGAAAGGAACCUGAAGUUUAACAGAUAAUCACUCGUUUUUGUGGUUUCUACAGAACUUUGCGUGCUAAGACAAUGACCACGAGUUUGGCCUCGUGUUCUGUUCAGACAACAAUCAUGCUGUUACCAAAUGGGUAACCAUAAAUGCAUCCAGCUUAACAGUCAGACAUGGAUUUUGCUAUAAUCAAAUGUGUAUCCACAAGUGAAUCUGACUUUAUAAGUCAAACACAGGCAAGUUUAUAUAGUUUUAUUUGUCCAUUUUUGAUCAUCAAAUGCAUGUGAUGACUGACUUUUUUCCCCAACAGAUCGACUCUGUUGACUUUAUUUUCUAUUUAAGCCAAAGUUUCUGAAGCACAACCUAGAUUUCUUGACUUAAAUUAUGACUUAUUUGUUAUUAAAUCAAGUUAUUAUUUUCUGACU